rnacentral:misc_RNA from 1 species
UACGGAGGGUGCAAGCGUUGUUCGGAAUUACUGGGCGUAAAGCGCGCGCAGGCGGGUCUGCAAGUCGAUUGUGAAAGCCCCGGGCUUAACCUGGGAAUUGCAGUCGAUACUGUUGAUCUUGAAUGCUCGAGAGGAUAGCGGAAUUCCCGGUGUAGAAGUGAAAUUCGUAGAUAUCGGGAAGAACAUCCGAGGCGAAGGCGGCUAUCUGGCGAUGCAUUGACGCUGAGGUGCGAAAGCGUGGGGAGCAAACAGG